UACGAAGGGGGCUAGCGUUGCUCGGAAUUACUGGGCGUAAAGGGCGCGUAGGCGGCACUGUUAGUCAGGCGUGAAAGUCCUGGGCUCAACCUGGGAACUGCGCUUGAUACGGCAGAGCUAGAGGAUGGAAGAGGGUCGCGGAAUUCCCAAGUGUAGAGGUGAAAUUCGUAGAUAUUGGGAAGAACACCGGUGGCGAAGGCGGCGACCUGGUCCAUUACUGACGGCUGAGGCGCGACAGCGUGGGGAGCAAACAGG
rnacentral:rRNA from 1 species